CCAGACUCCUACGGGAGGCAGCAGUGGGGAAUAUUGCGCAAUGGGGGCAACCCUGACGCAGCAACGCCGCGUGAUUGAAGAAGGCCUUCGGGUUGUAAAGAUCUUUAAUCAGGGACGAAAAAUGACGGUACCCGAAGAAAAAGCAUCGGCUAACUCCGUGCCAGCAGCCGCGGUAAUACGGAGGAUGCGAGCGUUAUCCGGAUUUAUUGGGUUUAAAGGGUGCGUAGGCGGACAGUCAAGUCAGCGGUAAAAAUGCGGUGCUCAACGCCGUACAGCCGUUGAAACUGGCAGUCUUGAGUGGGCGAGAAGUAUGCGGAAUGCGUGGUGUAGCGGUGAAAUGCAUAGAUAUCACGCAGAACUCCGAUUGCGAAGGCAGCAUACCGGCGCUCAACUGACGCUCAUGCACGAAAGCGUGGGGAUCGAACAGGAUUAGAUACCCCCGUACAC
rnacentral:rRNA from 1 species